rnacentral:tRNA from 1 species
UCCCUCAUAGCUCAGUUGGUAAAGAAUCUGCCUGUGAUGCAGGAGACCCCAGUUCAAUUCCUGGUCAGGAAG